AGAAUAAACAUGUACACAAAGAGAGAGCGGCCGUAUAAAUAAAGGUCAAAUAAAAAAUAAAAAUAAUAUUAAAGUAUAUAUCACUGUAAAGAAUAGAAAUAACCGUUAGCCCAGUAAAAACCUGAAUAAAGUUGCUCCGAGUUUCUUCAAAUAAAACAAAAUUGGUUUCAAACGUUUGUGCUGCAAAAAUUUACCGUAUCAUUUUAAAAAUAUUAAUAAAUGUUUCCAGAGGUCAUCAAAGGUCAACCAGCUUCCCUACAUUUUCAGAUCAAACAGGUUUUGUGUCAAUCAACUGUGCUACAACAAAUUUUAGCUGUAAAAUUGUUAAUUUUAUUUAUCUUAAAAAGUACAACGGUACAAACAAAGGUUUUGUGCACAAAUAUUUGAUGCCAAUUGCAUUUAAUUUGAAGAAGGUGGAGGAGGCAACUUCACUCAGGUCUAGUCAAAGCAUGUGGAUGCAAACACAGAAAAAUACGGUGGAGUAUUAAGGCCAUCCUGAGGAAAAUAAAAAAUAAAAUGAGAACAUAAUGAGAAUAAUGUCAGAAAAUUACAACAAUAAAAUCGUACGAGACUAAAGUCAAAAUAAUUUUAGUAUAAAGUCACAAUUUCACAAGAAUUAAGUCGUAUGAGAAUAAAGUCAAAAUAAUGCAAUAAUGAAGUUGUAAUAUGAGAAUACAGUAAGUAUUUUAAUAAUAAAGUCAUAAUGUUAAAUGUAUAAAGUCAUAUCAGAAUAAAGUUAGAAUGAUAAGAGAAUAAAUUCAAAAUAUUUUGAGAAUAAGGUCAUAGUAUCACAAGAAUAGCAAUGUAAUCUGAGAAUAAAAUCAUAACUUAGUCUGGUAAUGCUACGAUUUAUUCACAACUUUCUUCUUAAUUAAAUUUUUUUAUUUUCUUAGUGUGUCCCUAAUAAAAGGUGAAAUACAUUUUUGUUUCCUUAAUUUGGAAUUACUAUGGUAAAAGCUGAUAUAUUUUAUCUUAUGAUCUACUAAUUCAGCUGUUUUAUGUGUAGUAAAGGGAUAAAAGUGCUGAAAGUAGAAAGAUUAAGAGUAAAUUAUUACAUUUCAUGAUUUCCCAGCCUCUGCGCUCCGCUCCUGCUGCCUGAGUGAAGCUGGUGGCUGUGAUUUUGGCUGCUCUCUCAGAGCCGGAGCGCACCAUUAAGUGCUGUGUUAUUUACACAUCAUAAGCCAGUCUAUUAUAUUGACAUCCAGACGACCCGGUCCGGCACCGCUCCGCGCGUCGCGCCGCCUCGCUCUGUUUGCGCUCAACGCCAGCAUGCUGAUUGGGUGAUUUCCACCGAUAUGACAUUCCAACGCUGCGGACCGCGGGCUGCAGUGUUUCAGUCCGAAAGCAUUCAUUACCCGGCGAGAAAUGAGACAAAAGGUCAAGGAAGGGUGGAGCCAUGUGAAGUGGAGGUGGGGUUUACAAUCCAAUUGGGGAUUAAGUUAUCUCUUAUAUCUCUUACUUACAAUAAAUCCACACGUCUCCAUCUGAAAUGGCUUGUUUAAACUGUAGAGGAGCAUGAAGCAAAUGUUUGACUUUAUUUAAAAUUCAUUGUUCGGUAUUACAUUGCCGGCCGGGGUGAGCCCUGGGACUCCAAAAGGUGAGCAUACAAGCAGAAUGGGCUUUUUUUUAAAAAAAACAUUAUUAUUAUUCUGAUCCUGGAAUUGCAGAAUUGCCAUCCGGUUGUUGUCCUCCACUCUGUGCUGCCAUUUACCAACAGCAUCAAAAUAUUUGACAUCCUAUAAUAGGAUUGCAUCCAGAGUAAUUCCUGUAACUGCUCUUGACAUAAGUGCCCCAAGUAAAAUAAAUCUCUGUGAACCAUUUAAAAGCAUUAAUGCAGAUAAAGGAGAAUACAUUUCCUUUGCCUCAGAUUAUUAGAAUAUGAGAGAGUUAUCGUCUCUGUAGGCUCUGCUGCACGGCAGCGUCACUGACGGCACAAAAAUGGACUUUUAAACUGAAAAUAAUAUAUAAUAUUGCUGUUUGUAUUUUUGGAGAUCUUUCUUUGGAGAACAAAAUUUACAUUGUUUAUUUAAUGCAAUCAUUUUAUCCACAAUUUCAAGAACCAAACACACAAGUUUCCACUGAAAAUUUGUAAUUAUAGCAAAUAUUUCCAAUAUUUAGAAGCUUAAAACAUUUACUAGUUACAGUAUUUUGUAUAAACUAUUGGUAUUUUUUGUUACUUUAUUAUACUCGUAAGUCGUCCAAGUGAAAAAUAGGAAUGCUGGGGAGUGAUUCCCAACAUAUAAAGUGAAAAUAUUGGAUUUUUUCUCUGGACUGAAACUCCCGUCGGUCCCGUCUGACCUCACCGUAAACUCCAGAGAGUAAAUUAAGGGGUUCAGGUGAAACCCUCUGGACUUUAUUAGCAGCAUUUUGGGGCUUCGCUUAUGGAGAACAGAAAGUUUUUCCCACAAACGUCCAGCAGCAUCGCAGUAAAUUUAUAACAUUUAAAAACAUUUAACAUUAUAUGCAUGUGUUUGAAAUGACUUAUGAGCAUAUUUUGGUCCACUUAUUUAAAUACAUCACACUCUAUUUUUUUAAUAAUAAAUCAAUUGAGUAAAAACUAAAUUAUUCGAGUUGGUCUCGUUCUAUGUUUUUAAUUUUGUUGGUCAAAUUCUGCCUUAAGAUACAUUAACUAAAAAAAUAAAACAGCUUAAAUACUUUAUUAAUUUCAAAGGGAAAUUUAAUGUUGUUGUGACUCAUAUUAAUUCAUAUUUUUCAAGUUUAAUUUAUUGUUUCCACCAAAAAGUCUUUAAGAGUUUACUUUGUCUCCUAAAUAGGCUAAAUUUAAAAACUUGAUGUUUUUUUAUGCAUAAUUUUGAUAUAGAAAGCAAAUUAAAGGACAAAAUGAUAAAAACAGAAGUCUUUAUGUUGGUAAAAGUCUGUUUGCUUUAACGUUUCUGACCUCUUACUCCCACUGACCUGCACUGAGAAACGUCUGGAUGGUAAAAGAAACAAUAAAAACAAACGGGAAGUCGAUGGGAAUCCGUGAUAAACCUGGCAGAUAAUUUCCCGUUCUCACCUCCGCCGGGAGCCGCAGCACCCACCGGAUCCGGGGCAGGGUCGGGGGUCGGGGUCCCACCGGGAGAUCCUCUCUGUGGUUAUCAUGCUCCAUCUAGUGGCUGCACAGGGUUAGACGAGGAAGAGGAGGAAGAGGAAGCCGGCAUCAAUUACCUGCUCCUGAAAGAAAGCGGCAACACAGUGUAAAGAUUUAUUUUCUCUCUUUGAUUAAAAGUCAACUUUCGCUGCUUAUGGCUAUAAAAUGAAAAGAAAACAGACAUAAUUGGGUUAAAUUUGAUAAUAUGUUUGAACAUCAUCUUUAAUAUGCUCCAUAAAGGAGUGCAUGUCUUGCAUGUGCAAAUUAAAUCCUGUUUAGGGGAACAGUGUUGAGACUGAAGCAAUGCGCGGCUCACGUUACACAGAUAUGAGGCAGCGGGACGUGCGAACCGUCGCCGUCUUGCUCACAUCCAACUGGAAAGUGAUCUUCAGCGAACUCCCAUUGUGAGCCUCUCUGGAGUAAACGCAACAAAAUUGAUCUCAGGUCUCUCCCGAGUUUGCAGAUGGGAGCGUUUUAGUCGCUCCUGGUGGCAAUUUCCAAACAUGGAAAGCUGGGAGGUCGCCACGGCAACCUGCGAGCCAAACACAGGACUUCCACCUGCCUGCUAACUUUUUCAGGGGCGCCGCUUUCCCGCUUGAAAGAGGAGAAAUGAGAGGGUGAUGUUCAGACAGCAUGUUAACAAUUCAUCCAGAUUCUGGUGUGUGUGUGUGUGUGUGUGUGUGUGUGUUUGCGUUUGUUUGUAAUACCUUGUGGGAACCAUUUUCCUGACACAUACAACGUUGUGAGGACCCACUGCUCCCUGUGGGGACCGAAGCCUGGUUAGAUUUAGGACUAAGGUGUGAAUUGGGUUGAGGUUUUGGUUGAGUUUGGGUUAGGUAUGUAAUGGACAGGGUUAGGAUAAGGGUAAGGUUUAGGCUGUAGAAAUGAAUGGAAGUCAAUGGAAGGUCCCCACAAAGAUAGCUAUGCAAACAUGUGUGUGUGUGAACCCGGUUUUUAUAUCUUUGUGGGGACCUACUGCUGUCUAACUGUGGGGUGGUGGGGACACUGCAUCUUGUGGGGACAUUUCGCUGUUUUGGGGGUUGGGGUUAAGUUUAGGAUUUAUGUGUGAAUUGAGUUUUGAUGAGGGUUAGAGGUUAAUCAUGUGAUGGUUAGGGUAAGUGUUACCCUCUAGAAAAUGAAUGGAAGUCAAUGUAAAGUCCCUACAAGAUACAAAAACAUGACGGCGUGCAUGUGUGUGAGUGUGUGUGUGUGUGUGGGUGUGUGUAUGUGUGUGUGUGCCAGUUGGAGGCUCUGCUAAUGUAUUGUGACUCCUGCUGUCAACGGUUCGUCUCCCCUCCGUCUUGCUGUAAUUUCAGGCCAUCUCCACUCCAGAGUGGCCCACAACAGUUCGUUCUACACCUCCAUGUUUUGAGAGAGUAAAGCACCAUGUGGCCCAGCUGGGCUAAACAUGCUCCUGCUGAAAAGGACAAUCAAACUGUUUUGUGGGGCAUUUGUGUUCUGCUUGUACUUUACGGCUUCCAGACUCUGAAUAGCAGUGGACCUUUUUACUCAAUAAACCUCAAGAGAAUAUUUGGUUUAUUUUACAUCAACGGCAACAGCACUGAGCUGCUUGAUGUGGAGUACAGUUACAAUAUGAAAACCAAAAUUAUUACGUUUCUAUCAACAAAAAAAAAAUAUAUAUAUAUAUAUAUAUAUAAUGUCUAUUUGCAAGCAAAAUUUAGUUUAACUUCACUUUUUAAAAUAUGUGGAGCAGUAAUGACAAUCUUUACUAUGGAAAAAAAAAAAUUCUACCUUUUCAGAAUUUUGACUUUAAUUUCAAAAUUCUGACUUUAAAGAAGGUAGCACAAGCAAAUGAAGUGGAUUAGCAGAGCUUGGUGUCUCUCCUACCUGCAUAUUGAGCUGUUAGCAUGUUGGGGCUGUGAUCAGACCAUCUUCAGUCAGAGACCUCUUCAGAUCUGUUGUAAGACUGACUGCUACCAGAGAUCCUUCCUGCCCACAGCAUCACAACUCUAUGAAGAUACAGAUAUGAGUUACUACAUUCAAGCUCCCUUUGGAAUAAAUAAUAUUUAUUUUAUUGAAGCUGUAUUUAGAAUCAUAUAACUUCAAGUUAUUGCCAGUAAAAGUGGUUCUUGAAUUAUGGGGUGUACUUAGUUUUUCAUACACACCUUUUUAUAUUUCUUCAGAAUCUGCUGUGUGUUUUUGUACAGUUGAAGUUAUAUCAAGCCUGGUAAAAACAAUUGAUGACCCAAAAAUAAAAAAAAAUAAUAAUGUUUUUAAUUUAAUAAGUAAACAGUCCAGACCCACUUAUGUUUUGGAUAUUUAAUGGAUUUACAGAUUUUAUAAAAAAUUUUGUUCAAACAACUGAUCACAAUGAACAAUAUUUUUCAUUUUUAAUUAACUUAAUUUUGUGGCCCACAACAAGUUCAAGGUUGUCAGUUUUGGUCCUCUGGGUGAAAUGUUUGGACACUCCUGCCUUAAAACUGCAGUCAUUUUUAUAAAACGAUGUAAUUUUUAUAUAUUUGUUGAAACUAUCCCCAGAUAAUCCAUGAAAAUGUUUUAGCUCCUCUGCCUUCUCCCAAUGCUAACUAGAAACAACCAAUCAGAGCCAGGAGGCGGGUCUUAGCGCUAUCAAUCACCCUGCCUGUAGCUACCUGCUAUGCUGCAGCUAAUGUACCCUACUGUCAAUGCUCAGGCUCAUUGCAUAGCCACCGAUGAUGGUAAAUAAACAAUUUUCCUGUAAUAAGUUGUUUCUCCACCAUUAGGACAUUUAGCAACAUGUUCACAGGUUGAUUGACAGCACUAAGACAGUCCUACUGGCUCUGAUUGUUUGUUUUUGUGGGGAGAAGGUGGAGGAAAUCAAUCUUUUCACUGAUAAUUUGUCUCAUAUUUUGCUGUCACAACAUAACGCUUUUAACAAAUAUGUAAAAAACAAUUUUUUUAAUAGAAGUUAAACACCUCAGAUUUAAAUGUAAGACAAACUGACCUGAGCGCCUGGAGAAUAAAGUUGCUCUGAAAGGUUAAAGGACAUCUCGUUGUCUGUUUCAAUCCAUUUCUUCUGCAUUCUUCUAAUCAGCACUAAUCACUUCAGUUUCAUUUGUCCAAGCAGUGGAUGAAGCAAUCCCUGAAGCCAAAGCUGCUCAUUCAUUAGAUUGUUUUAAUGUGCCUGAAAGCAGUUGUGCAAAUAAACAAGCCGUUACAGCGAAACGAGAGGAAUCCCUUCAACCCAGCAGGGACCGCAGCUCCAACUUGUGCCUUUUAUCAUAUUAAUCCCACGCAACGUCAUUUCUCAGGUCCACAAGAAGGACUUAUAAAUUGCCUCUAAUAGGCUUCAAAUCAAGCACUAAUUAAAACUGCAUUAACCUUAAUGAAUC